AAAGAGCCAGAGCAUUACUAGUAACCUUGGCAACGUUAAGCACCUGAGCUCUAAUGGAGGCCUUGAUCUUGCCAUCCAUGGCCUUCCCGGAGAACCCAUCAAGGCAAGUGUUGUCGUCAGUCAAAGCAGCACUAACCCAAGUCUCGACAUUGCUCAUGUGCCAUAUGAAAUCCUGACCCUUGGAUGACUUGCCCAUCUUCUUCAGCUCGUCCACAGAUUUGCUCAGCCGGUCGACGCUGUCGCCCAUCUCCUCAAGGCAGUCGUCGAUGGCCUCGUACUCCUUGUGGCUCAAG
rnacentral:lncRNA from 1 species